AGAGUUUGAUCCUGGCUCAGGAUGAACGCUAGCUACAGGCUUAACACAUGCAAGUCGAGGGGCAGCAUUUCAGUUUGCUUGCAAACUGGAGAUGGCGACCGGCGCACGGGUGAGUAACACGUAUCCAACCUGCCGAUAACUCGGGGAUAGCCUUUCGAAAGAAAGAUUAAUACCCGAUGGCAUAAUUAGACCGCAUGGUCUUAUUAUUAAGAAUUUCGGUUAUCGAUGGGGAUGCGUUCCAUUAGGCAGUUGGUGAGGUAACGGCUCACCAAACCUUCGAUGGAUAGGGGUUCUGAGAGGAAGGUCCCCCANAUUGGAACUGAGACACGGUCCAAAAUCCUACGGGAGGCA
rnacentral:rRNA from 1 species